AUUGAACGCUGGCGGCAUGCCUUACACAUGCAAGUCGAACAGUAACAGGUUAAGCUGACGAGUGGCGAACGGGUGAGUAAUAUAUCGGAACGUGCCCAGUCGUGGGGGAUAACUGCUCGAAAGAGCAGCCAAUACCGCAUACGACCUGAGGGUGAAAGCGGGGGAUCGCAAGACCUCGCGCGAUUGGAGCGGCCGAUAUCAGAUUAGCUAGUUGGUGGGGUAAAAGCCUACCAAGGCAACGAUCUGUAGCUGGUCUGAGAGGACGACCAGCCACACUGGGACUGAGACACGGCCCAGACUCCUACGGGAGGCAGCAGUGGGGAAUUUUGGACAAUGGACGAAAGUCUGAUCCAGCCAUGCCGCGUGCGGGAAGAAGGCCUUCGGGUUGUAAACCGCUUUUGUCAGGGAAGAAAAGGUUCUGGUUAAUACCUGGGACUCAUGACGGUACCUGAAGAAUAAGCACCGGCUAACUACGUGCCAGCAGCCGCCGUAA
rnacentral:rRNA from 1 species